rnacentral:rRNA from 1 species
GCCAGACUCCUACGGGAGGCAGCAGUGGGGAAUAUUGGGCAAUGGGCGCAAGCCUGACCCAGCAACGCCGCGUGAAGGAAGAAGGCUUUCGGGUUGUAAACUUCUUUUCUCAGGGACGAAGCAAGUGACGGUACCUGAGGAAUAAGCCACGGCUAACUACGUGCCAGCAGCCGCGGUAAUACGUAGGUGGCAAGCGUUAUCCGGAUUUACUGGGUGUAAAGGGCGUGUAGGCGGGAAAGCAAGUCAGAUGUGAAAACCAUGGGCUCAACCUGUGGCCUGCAUUUGAAACUGUUUUUCUUGAGUACUGGAGAGGCAGACGGAAUUCCUAGUGUAGCGGUGAAAUGCGUAGAUAUUAGGAGGAACACCAGUGGCGAAGGCGGCUUACUGGACAGUAACUGACGUUGAGGCUCGAAAGCGUGGGGAGCAAACAGGAUUAGAUACCCCAGUAC